rnacentral:rRNA from 1 species
UACGUAGGGGGCAAGCGUUGUCCGGAAUCAUUGGGCGUAAAGAGCGUGUAGGCGGCUCGGUAAGUCCGCUGUAAAAGUCAAAGGCUCAACCUUUGAAUGUCAGUGGAUACUGCCGGGCUAGAGUCCGGAAGAGGCGAGUGGAACUCCUGGUGUAGCGGUGGAAUGCGCAGAUAUCAGGAAGAACACCGGUGGCGAAGGCGGGUCUCUGGGCAGUAACUGACGCUGAGGAGCGAAAGCGUGGGGAGCGAACAGG